rnacentral:rRNA from 1 species
GGCUGAGUUUGAUCAUGGCUCAGGAUGAACGCUAGCUACAGGCUUAACACAUGCAAGUCGAGGGGCAUCGGGAAGAAAGCUUGCUUUCUUUGCCGGCGACCGGCGCACGGGUGAGUAACACGUAUCCAACCUGCCCUUUACUCGGGGAUAGCCUUACGAAAGAAAGAUUAAUACCCGAUGGCAUAAUGAUUCCGCAUGGUUUCAUUAUUAAAGGAUUCCGGUAAAGGAUGGGGAUGCGUUCCAUUAGGUUGUUGGUGAGGUAACGGCCCACCAAGCCUUCGAUGGAUAGGGGUUCUGAGAGGAAGGUCCCCCACAUUGGAACUGAGACACGGUCCAAACUCCUACGGGAGGCAGCAGUGAGGAAUAUUGGUCAAUGGGCGCUAGCCUGAACCAGCCAAGUAGCGUGAAGGAUGAAGGCUCUAUGGGUCGUAAACUUCUUUUAUAUAAGAAUAAAGUGCAGUAUGUAUACUGUUUUGUAUGUAUUAUAUGAAUAAGGAUCGGCUAACUCCGUGCCAGCAGCCGCGGUAAUACGGAGGAUCCGAGCGUUAUCCGGAUUUAUUGGGUUUAAAGGGAGCGUAGGUGGACUGGUAAGUCAGUUGUGAAAGUUUGCGGCUCAACCGUAAAAUUGCAGUUGAUACUGUCAGUCUUGAGUACAGUAGAGGUGGGCGGAAUUCGUGGUGUAGCGGUGGAAUGCUUAGAUAUCACGAAGAACUCCGAUUGCGAAGGCAGCUCACUGGACUGCAACUGACACUGAUGCUCGAAAGUGUGGGUAUCAAACAGGAUUAGAUACCCUGGUAGUCCACACAGUAAACGAUGAAUACUCGCUGUUUGCGAUAUACAGUAAGCCGCCAAGCGAAAGCAUUNAGUAUUCCACCUGG